CACGAACCGUACAAACGUUAUUCGGAAUUACUGGGCUUAAAGGGUUUGUAGGCGGCCAUGUAAGUCAGGUGUGAAAUCCCUCGGCUCGACCGAGGAACGGCGCUCGAUACUGCAUGGCUUGAGGGAGACAGGGGUAAGCGGAACUGAUGGUGGAGCGGUGAAAUGCGUUGAUAUCAUCAGGAACACCGGUGGCGAAAGCGGCUUACUGGGUCUCUUCUGACGCUGAGGAACGAAAGCUAGGGUAGCGAACGGG
rnacentral:misc_RNA from 1 species